GACGAACGCUGGCGGCGUGCUUAACACAUGCAAGUCGAACGGAAAGGCCCUGCUUUUGUGGGGUUCUCGAGUGGCGAACGGGUGAGUAACACGUGAGUAACCUGCCCUUGACUUUGGGAUAACUUCAGGAAACUGGGGCUAAUACCGGAUAGGAGCUCCUGCUGCAUGUUGGGCGUUGGAAAGUUUCGGCGGUUGGGGAUGGACUCGCGGCUUAUCAGCUUGUUGGUGGGGUAGUGGCUUACCAAGGCUUUGACGGGUAGCCGGCCUGAGAGGGUGACCGGCCACAUUGGGACUGAGAUACGGCCCAGACUCCUACGGGAGGCAGCAGUGGGGAAUAUUGCACAAUGGGCGGAAGCCUGAUGCAGCAACGCCGCGUGCGGGAUGACGGCCUUCGGGUUGUAAACCGCUUUCGCCUGUGACGAAGCGUGAGUGACGGUAAUGGGUAAAGAAGCACCGGCUAACUACGUG
rnacentral:rRNA from 1 species